GACGUAGGUACCGAGCGUUAUCCGGAUUUACUGGGCGUAAAGCGCGUUCAGGCGGUUUGGCAAGUCGGGCAUGAAAUCUCUCGGCUCAACCGGGAGAGGUUGUCCGAUACUGCUGGACUGGAGGCAGUAGAGGGUGGUGGAAUUCCGGGUGUAGUGGUGAAAUGCGUAGAGAUCCGGAGGAACACCAGUGGCGAAAGCGGCCACCUGGACUGCACCUGACGCUGAAACGCGAAAAGCUAGGGGAGCGAACGGG
rnacentral:rRNA from 1 species